UUAGACACCAAGCAGGAAAUAUUUAUUUUAAAAUUGCUGAGAAGUGUAUAUAGAGUAUUUUAAUUUAAGGAAGAAGUUAGCUGAUACACCAUUAUAAAUAGUUUUACAUAUGGGAUGUUUUUACAUUAAGAAGAAAUAGCUUGGUUUAUCAUUGUAAAUAAUCUAUGUACAUAAAGUUCUAUUCUGGCUAUACCUAGUGGACGUAUAUCUCAAAAUGCCGUUAGAUGUUAGUGAUAAUGAUCUCCUAAACUUAGACUUAGAUGCAUUUUUACCUGAAAUGAGCGACAUAGCGCUUUUAAACAUAAAUACGGCGAUACUUGAGCCGGAGAUAAGUGACCGAAAUUUACUCUCCAUCGACUUAAACGAAUCCCAAAACACACAUCCUUGCACCGAUGUUAUCAUGGAAAUGGUGCUCAAAGAAGAUCUAACAGUAUCGUCACUGAAAACCGCGGAAGAGCAUUUAACUGGGAAGUUCAUACCUCGAUUGUUACAAAAACUAAUCACGUGAGCAUACGUGUUUAAAUUUUGUUUUUCCAAAGGGAUAGUCUAUAAAUUACGCAACACAAUAAAUAAAACAAAAAAGUUUAAAAGUUUUCCCUCGCGGAGUUUUAAUUUAAAUUAAAAAUCAAAAUAGCUCAUUAAGUUUAAUGAAAAUCGCCGCGUAAAAGAGCUUAUUAUCUCUUACUUCUGUUUUUUAAAUAUAUUUUGCUUUGGGUAGUUUAUGGACGAUCCAAAAGCAAAAAUAAAAAUGCUCACGCAAUUAUGUUUUCUUUCCUUUUUUUUUUCCCGUAGAAAAGCAGAGAGGUGGAAAGUAUAUUAUGUUCAUCUUUUGUUU